rnacentral:miRNA from 1 species
ACAGAUGUGGGGGUCGUUUG